rnacentral:rRNA from 1 species
GAUGAACGCUGGCGGCGUGCCUAAUACAUGCAAGUCGAGCGAACAGACGAGGAGCUUGCUCCUCUGACGUUAGCGGCGGACGGGUGAGUAACACGUGGAGAACCUACCUAUAAGACUGGGAUAACUUCGGGAAACCGGAGCUAAUACCGGAUAAUAUAUUGAACCUCAUGGUUCAAUAGUGAAAGACGGUUUUGCUGUCACUUAUAGAUUGAUCCGCGCCGCAUUAGCUAGUUGGUAAGGUAACGGCUUACCAAGGCAACGAUGCGUAGCCGACCUGAGAGGGUGAUCGGCCACACGGGAGCUGGGACGCGGUCCAGACUCCUAAGGGAGGCAGCAGUAGGGAAUCUUCCGCAAUGGGCGGAAGCCUGACGGAGCAACGCGGCGUGAGUGAUGAAGGUCUUCGGAUCGUAAACCUCUGUUAUUAGGGAAGAACAAAUGUGUAAGUAACUAUGCACGUCUUGACGGUACCUAAUCAGAAAGCCACGGCUAACUACGUG